AUUAUGCGGAUUUCUGUGUUGUUGCUUCGGCAUCAGCAUAGUGCCGCCAUAAGCUGGUGAAACUUCUUAGAGGGACUGGCGCCCAAAAAGGCGCACGAGAAAGAGCAAUAACAGGUCUGUGAUGCCCUAAGAUGUCCGGGGCCGCACGCGUGCUACAAUGACGAUGGUAGUGAGCAUGAUUGACUGGUCCGAAAGGAUUGGUUAAACUGUUCAAUCAUCGUCGUGACUGGGAUUGGGGUUUGCAACUAUCCCCCAUGAACCAGGAAUUCCUAGUAAGUACAAGUCAUAAGCUUGUGCUGAUUACGUCCCUGCCCUUUGUACACACCGCCCGUCGCUACUACCGAUUGAAUGGUUUAGCAAGGUCAUUGGAUUGAGUCCUUUUGGUUUGCGCCAUUUGGAUUUGAGAAGAUGGCCGAACUUGAUCAUUUAGAGGAAGUAAAAGUCGUAACAAGGUUUCCGUAGGUGAACCUGCGGAAGGAUCAUUAGCAUAUUCCUACCAUUGCUUCGUGCCUGCUUCAACGGCCACUUCCUCCCGUUAAGCAUGCUAUCAAAGAGGCAAGCUCCGAGUAGCACGUAUAAGGCGACUUAAAAAUAAAAAACCUUGGCCUAUACAGCGAAAGGACCAUGUUGUGGAUAUUUGCGGUUGGAGCUGUCUCCAAUUCGUGUGACAUUGCAAUACUCUUACUUGUACCUAGCCUGGCCUCGCGGCCUCGUGACUGGUGCAUGUUGUGGUACAGAAAUGAUUUGCUCUGCUCCAAACUAGAACAUACCAUUCUGGUUUGGUACCAGUUCAAGUCAUCACCCGGUAGACGUCUGCCAAGGCACCGAACGUGUGGCAUAUAGUUGGUGACAGCACUAUGUGUCGCGUGUUUGGAGCACCUUGUACGUGUUGAAUGGCGGUCUAUCGUGUUGUCACGGCAGUUCUCCCCACUCAUUGGGUGGGUGAGUAUGUUUGUCCUAAACCUUCAACUACAAGUUACGGUCUGGAUGUGGCUUGACCUCGAGCACGCUCGGUCAACCGCGUCUUGUACCAGAUGUUGUGCCCUAACCAAGCACAAUAUCGA
rnacentral:rRNA from 1 species